rnacentral:rRNA from 1 species
AACCUGGUUGAUCCUGCCAGUAGUCAUAUGCUUGUCUCAAAGAUUAAGCCAUGCAUGUCUAAGUAUAAACCUUUAUACGGUGAAACUGCGGACGGCUCAUUACAACAGUGAUAAACUAAAGAACUUUCGCGCGAAAGCGUUUUGGAUAACCGCAGUAAAUCGGGGCUAAUACAUAUAAACGAAAGGCGAAUGGUUUUAUUACCAUAAGUUCUUGCGAUUAUUAGUCAUUUUAAACCAACCUCUUCGGAGUUUGUGUUGAAACCGAAUAAUAUUGCUGAUCGAGAAUUUAUUCUCGACAAGUUCUAUGUGUCACUGCCCUAUCAACUUUGGAUGGUACGGUAUUGGCCUACCAUGGUUGUAACGGGUGACGGGGAAUCAGGGUUCGAUUCCGGAGAGGGAGCCUGAGAAAUGGCUACCACUUCUACGGAAGGCAGCAGGCGCGCAAAUUACUCAAUCCCAAUACGGGGAAGUAGUGACAAUAAAUACUAAUGUCUUUCCAAAUUUUGGAGGACAAUUGGAAUAAGUACAAUGUAAAUAGCUUAACAAAAGUAAUUGGAGGGCAAGUCUGGUGCCAGCAGCCGCGGUAAUUCCAGCUCCAAUAGCGUAUACUAAAUUUGUUGCAGUUAAAAAGCUCGUAGUUAAGGUUGAAAUCUUUCGGAUUAAAAGAGUUACUCUUACCAAAGAGUUCUCCUUAGAUCAUUGCUUAUCUAAUAAGUUAAUCGAUCACCGAAAAUUUUUUUUAAGGUUACUUUAUAGGCAACUAUAAUUUAAACCAAUCCACUGUGAGAAAAUUGUAGUGUUUAAAGCAAGCUUUUAUGCUUGUUCAAUGCAGCAUGGUAUGGUAAAAUAGGACACUUAACAUUUGUUGGUUUACCAAUUGUUUAAGUGUAAUGACUAAUAGGGAAAGUCGGGGCCGUUCAUAUUGAUGGGCGAGAGGUGAAAUUCGUUGACCCUAUCAAGAUGCACUACAGCGAAAGCAUUCGGCAAGUAUUUCUCCAUUAAUCAAGAACGAAAGUUUGGGGAUCGAAGACGAUCAGAUACCGUCGUAGUCCAAACCAUAAACGAUGUCGACCAGAGAUUGGGUAGACAAUAAAUAUAAAUGCAUUCAGAACCUUGUGAGAAAUCAUGAGUGUUUGGACUCUGGGGGGAGUAUGGUCGCAAGGCUGAAACUUAAAGGAAUUGACGGAAGGGCACACAAUGGAGUGGAACCUGCGGCUUAAUUUGACUCAACUCGGGAAAACUUACCAAGCUCAGAUAUAAUAAGGAUUGACAGACUAAAAGAUCUUUCAUGAUUGUAUAAGUGGUGGUGCAUGGUCGUUCUUAGUUGGUGGAGUGAUUUGUCUGGUCAAUUCCGAUAACGGACGAGACGUCUACUUACUAACUAGUGGGAUUUAUCUAGUCAAUUUGGAGGAUAAGUUUUUAGUGCUUCUAUUCAAGUCUUUCGGGGUUUGGUAGUUCAUUGAAGGCUGUGUACUCUGAUUAGAUAGAUUCUAGUAAAAACAUAAACUUCUUAGAAGGACUACCUACCUCAAGUGGGGGGAAGUUGGACGCAAUAACAGGUCUGUGAUGCCCUUAGAUACCUUGGGCUGCACGCGCGUUACAAUGUAACAGAGAAAAAGGCUUUCCAUGUCUGGAAAGACAUGGUAAUCAAUUGAAUCUACUACGUAAUAGGGAUUGAUCUUUGUAAUUAUCGAUCAUCAACGAGGAAUUCCUUGUAAGCGUAAGUCAUUACCUUACGCUGAAUAUGUCCCUGCCCUUUGUACACACCGCCCGUCGCUCCUACCGAUCGAACGAUUAGGUAAAAUUGACAGAUUUGAUUUAAAGCAGCAAUGUUAUUAAAUCUUAGAAGUUAUUUAAAUCUCAUUGUUUAGAGGAAGGAGAAGUCGUAACAAGGUAUCCGUAGGUGAACCUGCAGAAGGAUCAA